ACUCCUACGGGAGGCAGCAGUGAGGGAAUAUUGGUCAAUGACGCAAGUCUGAACCAGCCAUGUCGCGUGCAGGAAGACUGCCCUAUGGGUUGUAAACUGCUUUUAUACGGGAAGAAAUAUAGCUACGUGUAGUUAUUUGCCGGUACCGUAUGAAUAAGCAUCGGCUAACUCCGUGCCAGCAGCCGCGGUAAUACGGAGGAUGCGAGCGUUAUCCGGAUUCAUUGGGUUUAAAGGGUGCGUAGGCGGAAGUAUAAGUCAGGGGUGAAAGUUUGUGGCUCAACCAUAAAAUUGCCUUUGAUACUGUAUUUCUUGAGUACAUUUGAGGUAGGCGGAAUGUGUUGUGUAGCGGUGAAAUGCUUAGAUAUAACACAGAACACCGAUUGCGAAGGCAGCUUACUAAACUGUAACUGACGCUGAUGCACGAAAGCGUGGGGAUCGAACAGGAUUAGAUACCCUGGUAGCACAGAG
rnacentral:rRNA from 1 species